AUCUCAGCUGUGACAUCAGCUGCUGGAGCCUUGCUCUUUACAUGUAUUUAUGUCCUGGUAUGGCGCAAAAAAGGUAAAAGACUAAGGUUUCUCCUUUGCAAGAAGACUAGCAGCAACACGGAAAAGAAUUAUGAGGCCAUGAUAGUAUCGUACGGAUCCCUAGCUCCAAAAAGAUACAUGUAUUCAGAGGUAAUGAAGAUAACAUCUUCUCGCAGCGAUCAGCUUGGAAAAGGAGGUUAUGGUGUUGUUUUCAAAGGAAGACUGCAUGAUGGUCGUCUGGUCGCAGUAAAAUUCUUGCAUGACUGCAAAGGAAAUGGGGACGAGUUUGUUAAUGAAGUUAUGAGCAUUGGCAGGACCUCUCAUGUUAAUGUUGUUAGUUUAUAUGGGUUUUGUUUGGAGGGAUCAAAGCGAGCUCUUAUAUAUGAGUACAUGCCCAACGGUUCCUUGGAUAAGUACAUUUAUUCAGAGCACCCCAAAGAAAUUUUAGGAUGGGAGAGGCUUUAUGGGAUAGCAAUAGGGAUUGCUUGUGGCCUCGAAUACUUGCACCAUAGUUGUAAUACACGUAUCGUCCAUUUCGAUAUCAAGCCCCAAAAUAUCCUUCUAGACAAAGAUUUUAGACCAAAGAUUGCUGAUUUUGGUCUAGCUAAAUUGUGUCAUACAAAAGAGAGCAAGGUUUCAAUGAUUGGUACUAGAGGAACAAUUGGAUUCAUCGCCCCAGAAGUUCACUCGCGAACCUUUGGAGUGGUUUCAACAAAAUCGGAUGUUUAUAGUUAUGGAAUGAUGCUUCUGGAGAUGGUUGGAGGUAGGAGAAACGUAAAAUCAAUUGUUGCAAAAUCCAGCGAAAAAUAUUUUCCAGAUUGGAUUUAUGACCACUUUGCGCAAGAUGAUGGACUACAAGCAUGUGAAGUCACAUCAGAAAUUGAGGAAAUCGCAAGAAAGAUGACCUUAAUUGGCUUGUGGUGCGUACAAAUAUUGCCUGCAUAUCGCCCUACCAUAACAAAAGUUCUAGAAAUGUUCGAGAGAAGCUCAGAUGACAUGGACAAGCCACCGAAGCAAAACUUCUCUGGAUUGCUUGAAAGUUCAGCUCACAAUAUGGAUGUACAAAGUUCAAGCUCUACCAGAUCUGAGGAGAUCAGCCUUGUGAAUUCAAAAAACCUACAAAAAUCGCCAACUCUUUGA
rnacentral:rRNA from 1 species